AUUCGAUGAAACAAAACAAUAUCCAUAUUGUUACAGAACCAGGCUGGAUCGCUGGCGGAAAAACCAAGCGGCACUCAGAGAUGUUGGCGCAUCGGCGUUUUAUUUUACACCAGUGGGCUCAGAGAAGAUCCUUCUCCAGAGAUCUGAGUCCCGAACGCAACCCCUGGACAAUUUUGUAGAAGACAGAUUAAUUCAAGCUGCAACUAUACAUUUGGUCUUCAAAUAGUUCAGUUAAACAACCAGAAAAAUCUGCAUGAAAGAUAAAUUUGAGCAAGAAAAGAUUGCUUUGCUCUGGGGGAAUUCAGCUGCCACAUAAUGAGGCAGCUCCGUAGAAAAGCUCAUAUAACAAGGAAUUAAGGACUGACAGCAGCCAUAUGUAUUACCUUAGAAGUGGAUUCUCUCUGUCAAGCCUUGCGAUGAGCAAAGCCACAAAUCACCUUGACGCCUUGACUGUCCUGAGCCAGAACUAUCUCACUAAGUCAUUGCUGUAUUCCCCACCUUAAGAAACUGUGAGAUAAUAAAUUUUUAUUUUCAACUUCUGAGUAUUUGUUAUACAGCAAUAAAUAACUAAUAAACCUAACAUAUAAUCUAGAAAUUCCACUCUUGUGUAUUUCUCCAGGAGAAGUAAAAAACAUUUCUGCACAAACAUGUACGUGGGUAUUCAUUGUUCCCAACAGCCCCAAAAUGGAAAAAUGCAAAUGUCCAUCAACAGGUGAAGGGAUAAACUAGUAUACAUCAGAGUUACUCAGAAGGUCUGUUAAAGAACAGCCUGCUAGGCUCUACCCUCAGAGUUUCUAACUCAAUAGGUCUGGUAUACGGUCUGAGAAUUUGCAUUUGUAACAAUUUGCCAGGUGAUGCUAGUGCUGCUGGUCUUUGACCACACUUUGAGAACCACCAGAUUAGUCUACAAUUUGAAUGUCUAUGGUAUUCUGUGCUGUAUAACAUCUUUUAGUACCGAGUAGAUCCAAAGGACACUACCAGGUUUAUGAAGGGAAUAAAAUUCUUAUA